rnacentral:lncRNA from 1 species
UAGAAGCUUGCAUAGUCGUGCUGCAAUUUUUUUUGUCUAACGUGACUUCCUAAUGGUGACAGAGGCUGACUGCAGCAAAGGCAAACUCUCCCUAAUGUGAAGAACAUGGUUUGAAGCAGAAACAGCCCUGGUAGUGUUGUUUCCAUCACUGCAGAGAGACUGAAUUUGCACCAAAUUCUUCAGCUGCUGUUGGCUAUAGCUCCAGCACCACUGACUACUGAACAACCGAACUAAUCAUUUCAAUCCAUCAUCCAGGCUCCAGAUCAAAUUGAAAGGGGAGAUUAAAAUGGUAUACAAGUAAACUGAAAAUAGAAACAAGAAGAACUCACUUCAGUUAGCUUGAACAUCUGGAAGUUCACGGUUCACGUAUUGCAGAAGCCUGGCUUGGAGAAUUUUGAGGAUUACUUUACUACGAACAAAGCUAGUGCAGGUAAUGGAAUUCCAGUUGAGCUAUUUCAAAUCCUGAAAGAUGAUGCUUUGAAAGUGCUGCACUCAAUAUGCCAGCAACUUUGGAAAACUCAGCAGUGGCCACAGGACUAAAAAAGACUUGUGCUUCCUUGGCUUGGAGGAAAUCUGCUUAACUACCACCAUCUCAACCAGGAGCCAGACAGAGCUGGAUUCCUUCGCCAUUUCUGCAGUUUGCCUUUUGAGGUCCACAGGGAUCACUGCAUUGCCUCCACCGGAGGCCUGGAGAGAGUCCAGCAGGAAAGGAGAGGCUGGUCCUCUGCCUGGGACAAGCUCCAUGAUGUCAGUGGCAGCAGCUUUGCCCACUCUCAGCUAAAUUACAAACUCUCUCCUCAUCCCAUAUUACUGGCGGCGACACAGAGUCUCUUUGUCAACUGCUCCAAAUCACCCAGCAAACUGCCUCUCAGGCUAAGAGGACGGCUAAGACCCAACAACUGGGUGGCCGCAGGGCACUCAAAACCUCCUGUGAACAGGCACUAUCAGCAAACCGAGGGCAGACCAGGCGAGACAACUCAGAGCCCAGAAUUCACGCUGCAGCUGCCCCUGGCCUCUCUCUCCAAGCUUCCUUGCUGCCCAGGGAACAGGCAAAGGUCUCAGGACCUCAGCUCUUCUGGCGCAGAGAGAAACACAACAAAAUCCACCAGCUUUUGCCUCCUGUCUCUUUCCAUUUUGUUAGGCCAGUGGAAAGAAGAACCAGAAAAAAAACAUUUUUUCUAAUUUUAAUGUUGUCCAUUGUAAUAAAC